AUAGUUUUAAAUAAGAUCUGCUCAAUGUAAAAUAAAUAGCCGCAGUAAUUUCACUGUGCUAAGGUAGCAUAAUCAUUAGCCUUUUAAUUAAAGGCUAGAAUGAAUGAUUUAACAAUUUAACUCCUUUUUUUUAAAAAAUUAUUGAAUUUAAAUUAAAAAUAAAAAUGUUUUUAUAAAGAAGAAAGACGAUAAGACCCUUUUGAACUUUACUUAAGUUUAGCUGGGGAAGCUAAUUAAAAACAAUUUUAAUUAAUAUUUUAAAAAAAAAUUCCAAUAAAAUUGAAAAAAACAAGUUACCAAAGGGAUAACAGCGUAAUAUUUUUUUAAAGCUCUUAUUAAAAAAAAAGAUUGCGACCUCGAUGUUGAAUUAAUUUUACUUUUAAAUGUAACUAUUUAAAUAGUAGGUCUGU
rnacentral:rRNA from 1 species